rnacentral:rRNA from 1 species
UCAGGACGAACGCUGGCGGCGUGCCUAAUACAUGCAAGUCGAGCGGGUUUGUCCUUCGGGACAAGCUAGCGGCGGACGGGUGAGUAACACGUAGGCAACCUGCCUUUAAGACUGGGAUAACUAUCGGAAACGAUAGCUAAGACCGGAUAACUGGUUUUCUCGCAUGAGAGAAUUAUGAAACACGGAGCAAUCUGUGGCUUAAAGAUGGGCCUGCGGCGCAUUAGCUAGUUGGUGAGGUAACGGCUCACCAAGGCGACGAUGCGUAGCCGACCUGAGAGGGUGAACGGCCACACUGGGACUGAGACACGGCCCAGACUCCUACGGGAGGCAGCAGUAGGGAAUCUUCCGCAAUGGACGCAAGUCUGACGGAGCAACGCCGCGUGAGUGAUGAAGGUUUUCGGAUCGUAAAGCUCUGUUGCCCUAGACGAACAGCAAGGAGAGUAACUGCUCUUUGUGUGACGGUA